ensembl:lncRNA
GGGGGGGGAUUAAGUUACUAAGCAAUGGAGUUCCAUGAAUUACUGUAGAUAGCUGUUACUGAGUGCAGGUGGGGGGAAUCAAGUUACUAAGCAAUGGAGUUCCAUGAAUUACUGUAGAUAGCUGUUACUGCGUGCAGGUGGGGGGAAUCAAGUUAGUGAGUAAUGGAGUACCAUGAAUUACUGUAGAUAGCUGUUACUGACUGCAGGUGGGGGGAAUCAAGUUACUAAGCAAUGGAGUUCCAUAAAUUACUGUAGAUAGCUGUUACUGCGUGCAGGUGGGGGGAAUCAAGUUACUAAGUGUGGCAAGUUGCUCUUCCUCCCUCUCCAC